rnacentral:rRNA from 1 species
GUACCGUGAGGGAAAGGCGAAAAGAACCCCGGCGAGGGGAGUGAAACAGAACCUGAAACCGUGUACGUACAAGCAGUGGGAGCCCCACCACUAAGCCAGUGGUGAACUCCACAUACGCAUCCUUUGCUGAGGAUGCGGUUAACGGAGCGAAAGCGACGUUCAACCGCAAAAGAAGCAGAGGGGGCUUAGUGGUGGGGUGACUGCGUACCUUUUGUAUAAUGGGUCAGCGACUUAUAUUCUGUAGCAAGGUUAACCGCAUAGGGGAGCCGGAGGGAAACCGAGUCUUAACCGGGCGUUAAGUUGCAGGGUAUAGACCCGAAACCCGGUGAUCUAGCCAUGGGCAGGUUGAAGGUUGGGUAACACUAACUGGAGGACCGAACCGACUAAUGUUGAAAAAUUAGCGGAUGACCUGUGGCUGGGGGUGAAAGGCCAAUCAAACCGGGAGAUAGCUGGUUCUCCCCGAAAGCUAUUUAGGUAGCGCCUCGUGAAUUCAUCUCCGGGGGUAGAGCACUGUUUCGGCCAGGGGGCCAUCCCGGCUUACCAAUCCGAUGCAAACUGCGAAUACCGGAGAAUGUUAUCACGGGAGACACACGGCGGGUGCUAACGUCCGUCGUGAAGAGGGAAACAACCCAGACCGCCAGCUAAGGUCCCAAAGUCAUGGUUAAGUGGGAAACGAUGUGGGAAGGCCCAGACAGCCAGGAUGUUGGCUUAGAAGCAGCCAUCAUUUAAAGAAAGCGUAAUAGCUCACUGGUCGAGUCGGCCUGCGCGGAAGAUGUAACGGGGCUAAACCAUGCACCGAAGCUGCGGCAGCGAACGUAUCACCCAAGACAACUUUACACAGUUGACGCCUGACGGAGCGAAGCGACGUCAAAGCGUUUUACAACGUCGAGUUGGCUUAGGGAUACGUUCGUUGGGUAGGGGAGCGUUCUGUAAGCCGUUGAAGGUGUGUCGUGAGGCAUGCUGGAGGUAUCAGAAGUGCGAAUGCUG